rnacentral:misc_RNA from 1 species
GAUGAAGAACGCAGCGAAAUGCGAUAAGUAGUGUGAAUUGCAGAAUUCAGUGAAUCAUCGAAUCUUUGAACGCACAUUGCGCCCUUUGGUAUUCCUUAGGGCAUGCCUGUUCGAGCGUCAUUUAAACCUUCAAGCUCAGCUUGGUGUUGGGUGACUGUCCGCUUCACCGCGGACUCGCCUCAAAAUUAUUGGCGGCCGGUACGUUGGCUUCGAGCGCAGCAGAAACGCGAACUCGAGGCCCGGCGGAUCGGCGACCAGAAGUCUCUUCUUCACAGUUUGACCUCGGAUCAGGUAGGGAUACCCGCUGAACUUAAGCAUAUCAAUAAGCGGAGGA